rnacentral:rRNA from 1 species
CCUACGGGAGGCAGCAGUGAGGAAUAUUGGGCAAUGGGCGGAAGCCUGAACCAGCCAAGUAGCGUGCAGGAUGACGGCCCUACGGGUUGUAAACUGCUUUUAUACGGGAAUAACGCGCCUUACGUGUAGGGCUUUGCAUGUACCGUAUGAAUAAGGACCGGCUAAUUCCGUGCCAGCAGCCGCGGUAAUACGGAAGGUCCGGGCGUUAUCCGGAUUGGUUGGGUUUAAAGGGAGCGUAGGCGGCAUGUCAAGCGUGCUGUGAAAUUUCCGGGCUCAACCCGGGCCUUGCAGCGCGAACUGGCGUGCUUGAGUCCGCGGAAAGCAGGCGGAAGUCGUCGUGUAGCGGUGAAAUGCUUAGAUAUGACGAAGAACCCCGAUUGCGAAGGCAGCUUGCUGCAGCGGAACUGACGCUGAUGCUCGAAAGCGCGGGUAUCGAACAGGAUUAGAUACCCCGGUAGUC